rnacentral:rRNA from 1 species
AUUGAACGCUGGCGGCAGGCUUAACACAUGCAAGUCGAGCGGGGAAGGGUAGCUUGCUACCUGACCUAGCGGCGGACGGGUGAGUAAUACUUAGGAAUCUGCCAAUUAGUGGGGGACAACGUUUCGAAAGGGAUGCUAAUACCGCAUACGCCCUACGGGGGAAAGCAGGGGAUCACUUGUGACCUUGCGCUAAUAGAUGAGCCUAAGUCGGAUUAGCUAGUUGGUGGGGUAAAGGCCUACCAAGGCGACGAUCUGUAGCGGGUCUGAGAGGAUGAUCCGCCACACUGGGACUGAGACACGGCCCAGACUCCUACGGGAGGCAGCAGUGGGGAAUAUUGGACAAUCGGGGGAACCCUGAUCCAGCCAUGCCGCGUGUGUGAAGAAGGCCUUAUGGUUGUAAAGCACUUUAAGCGAGGAGGAGGCUCCUAUAGAUAAAACCUAUAGUGAGUGGACGUUACUCGCAGAAUAAGCACCGGCUAACUCUGUGCCAGCAGCCGCGGUAAUACAGAGGGUGCAAGCGUUAAUCGGAUUUACUGGGCGUAAAGCGUACGUAGGCGGCUAAUUAAGUCGGAUGUGAAAUCCCCGAGCUCAACUUGGGAAUUGCAUUCGAUACUGGUUAGCUAGAGUAUGGGAGAGGAUGGUAGAAUUCCAGGU